rnacentral:tRNA from 1 species
AUUAAGGUGGCAGAAGAAGUGCAUUAGGUUUAAGCCCUAAAUAUGAAGAUUAAUAUCUUCCCUUAAUA